AUAAUACUCCAUAGGUCACGAGAUCUGGAAAGACUUGUGGCUCAAAGUUCCGGCGCUUUAGGAUUGGUCUGCGGCCUAUCAGGUAGUAGUGGGUGUAACGGACCCACUAGCCGAUGACGGGUAUGGGCCUUGAGAGAGGGAGCCCAGAGAUGGAUUCUGAGACACGAAUCCAGGCCCUACGGGGCGCAGCAGUCGCGAAAACUUCACAAUGGAGGCAACUCCGAUGAGGGAAUUCCUAGUGCCAAUGCAUUUUGUGUUGGCUUUUCUUCAGCGUAGAUAACUGUUGGAAUAAGGGCUGGGUAAGACGGGUGCCAGCCGCCGCGGUAAUACCCGCAGCCCAAGUGGUGGUCGAUAUUAUUGAGUCUAAAACGUUCGUAGCCGGUUCAAUAAAUCUCUGGGUAAAUCGGAGGGCUUAACCUUCCGAAUUCCGGAGAGACUGUUGAACUUGGGACCGGGAGAGGCAAGAGGUACUUCUGGGGUAGGGGUAAAAUCCUGUAAUCCUAGAAGGACCACCGGUGGCGAAGGCGUCUUGCUAGAACGGAUCCGACGGUGAGGGACGAAGCCCUGGGUCGCAAACGGGAUUAGAUACCCCGGUAGUCCAGGGUGUAACGCUGCAGACUUGGUGU
rnacentral:rRNA from 1 species